CCUACGGGAGGCAGCAGUGGGGAAUAUUGCACAAUGGGGGAAACCCUGAUGCAGCGACGCCGCGUGAGUGAAGAAGUAUUUCGGUAUGUAAAGCUCUAUCAGCAGGGCAGAAAAUGACGGUACCUGAUUAAGAAGCCCCGGCUAACUACGUGCCAGCAGCCGCGGUAAUACGUAGGGGGCAAGCGUUAUCCGGAUUUACUGGGUGUAAAGGGAGCGUAGACGGCAGGACAAGUCUGGAGUGAAAGGCCGGGGCUUAACCCCGGUACUGCUUUGGAAACUGUGCAGCUGGAGUGCAGGAGAGGUAAGUGGAAUUCCUAGUGUAGCGGUGAAAUGCGUAGAUAGUAGGAGGAACACCAGUGGCGAAGGCGGCUUACUGGACUGUAACUGACGUUGAGGCUCGAAAGCGUGGGGAGCAAACAGGAUUAGAUACCCGUGUAGUC
rnacentral:rRNA from 1 species